AGUCAUAUGCUUGUCUCAAAGAUUAAGCCAUGCAUGUCCCAGACUAAGCUUUUCAUAGCGAAUCUGUGAAUGGCUCAUUAUAACAGUUAUAAUGUUAUUGGCUAUCUCUGUUACAUGGAUACCUGUGGUAAUUCUAUAGCUAAUACAUGCUUGCAGACCCAACUUAUUGGAAGAGUUGUUCUUGCUAGUUCUAGAACUAAUCCUGGCUUGCCCAGGGAUUUUGGUGAAUGACAACAAGACAAUGAAUCACAUAGCUUCUGCUGGUGAUACAUCUUUUCAAUUUCUGACCUAUCAGCUUUUGAUGGGAAGGUAUUGGCUUCCUGUGGCAAUGACGGGUGACGGAGAAUUAGGGUUUGAUUCCGGAGAGGGAGCCUGAGGAAUGGCUACCACAUCUAAGGAAGGCAGCAGGCGCGCAAAUUACCCAAUCUUGACAUAAGGAGGUAGUGACAACAAAUAACAAUACAGGGCAUCCAUGUCUUGUAAUUGGAAUGGGCUUAAGCCAAUCAUUUUUGCGAGAACCCAU
rnacentral:rRNA from 1 species